rnacentral:rRNA from 1 species
AUGGACAUGGUUACCGCCCCCCUCCUUCUGCUCCUGCUCCUCGCGCCUCUCGCCGCUGCGCAAUGGCAAUACUGCGGCAACAACGGCAACUACACACCAAAUAGCACCUACCAAGCUAACCUCAGGCUCCUCUCUUCCACCCUUCCCAACAAGGCCGCGUCCAACACCACCCUCUUCGCCACCGCCACAGUGGGUGAUAUUCCGGACAUGGUCCACGCUCUCACGCUCUGCCGCGGCGACACCAAUGACUUCGCCUGCGAGGACUGCGUGGCUACCGCCUUCCAGGACGCUCAGCAGCUCUGCCCGUACAGUAAGGACGCCUCCGUGUACUACGAUAUCUGCAUGCUCAGGUUCUCCAACCAAAAUUUUCUUGCCACCACCGUCAAUGGCAAUACUACACCCAUCCUCGAGAACUACCAGAAUCUCACGACAAGCGUUGACUAUUUCAAGCUCUUCUUGUUCACGCUUCUGAACGGCACGGCACAAUCCGCCACUAAGAGCUCGAGGAGGUUCAUCACCUCGCAAUUAGACAUCAGCUCCUUCCCAACGUUGUACUGUCUUAUGCAGUGCACGCCCGACCUCACCAUCGAAGACUGUGGGGCCUGUUUCUGGGAGGCCUUGCAGUAUACGCUCAAUUACAUCGACCGUAAGCGAGGUGGUCGAAUUCUUGGGACACGGUGCACCGUAAGGUACGAAAUAUAUCCGUUCUUCCAAGAUCCUAUACUGCAUAUUACCAACUUGGCCCCUGAUGUUCCGGCAAUCGACAACACUACUACCACGCCACGUGUAGAGCCAGAUACAAACCUCCCACGAUCGCAGCCAUCAGCUGCUGCUAUGCCAUCCCCAGAUGUGCAAACGACCAUCAAAGAACAGCACGGACGCAACGGAAGCAAGAGGCCGCUGUGGAUUAUUGCGGUGGUGGCUCCAUUGCUCUCAAUACUUAUGUGCUUUAUCUGCUUCGUUGUAUGGAUGAGAAGACGAAGAAAAGGAAAGGUAAACUUAAAUGACCAAGCUGCCACGAAUAGGCCAGAAGAAGAUGCACUGGUUUGGAGAUUGGAGGAGAAGAGUUCAGAGUUCACUCUCUUUGACUUUUCUGAGAUAUUGAAUGCUACGCACAACUUCUCCAAAGGGAAUCUACUUGGGCAAGGUGGCUUUGGCCCUGUCUACAAGGGAAGACUACCAGAUGAAAUGGAAAUUGCAGUUAAAAGGCUUGCUUCACAUUCAGGACAGGGUUUCAGAGAAUUCAAGAAUGAAGUUGAACUUAUCGCAAAACUACAACAUAACAAUCUGGUCAAACUCUUGGGAUGCUGCAUUCAGGGAGAGGAAAAAGUUUUGGUGUAUGAGUAUUUACCAAAUAAGAGCUUGGACUUCUUUAUAUUUGAUGAAAACAAAACAACGUUGGUUGAUUGGGAAAAGAGGCGCGUGAUAAUCGAAGGGAUAGCCCAAGGUCUUCUCUAUCUACACAAGCACUCUCGUUUGCGCAUCAUUCACAGAGACCUUAAGGCCAGCAACAUUCUCUUGGAUCAGGAAAUGAAUCCUAAAAUUUCUGAUUUUGGUCUAGCUAAAAUUUUCAGCUCAAAUGAUACUCAGGGAAGCACAAAGAGGGUAGUGGGUACAUAUGGUUAUAUGUCUCCGGAGUAUGCAUCUGAAGGCAUUUACUCAAUCAAAUCUGACGUGUUCAGUUUUGGUGUGUUACUUCUUGAGAUCCUUAGUGGGAAAAGGAAUUCUGGCUUCCAUCAGUACGGAGACUUUCUUAACCUUCUUGGAUAUUCAUGGCAACUCUGGGAAGGAGGAAAGUGGCUUGAGCUUCUAGAAGUGUCAAUUGUUAAGGAGAUCCAUACAACAGAGGCUAGGAGGUACAUUAACAUUGCAUUGAUGUGCGUUCAAGAGAGCACAGAUGAUCGGCCCACCAUGUCAGAUGUUGUUGCAAUGUUAAAUAGUGAGAAUGUUAUUCUCCCAGAGCCUAAUCAUCCAGCAUACUUCAACUUAAGGGUAUCUAAGGUACAUGAAUCAGCUAGUGUUGUUGUCCCAUGUAGUAAUAAUGAUGUAACCAUCACUGAAGAGCCAGAUGGCAGAUAG